rnacentral:rRNA from 1 species
UAGGGAAUCUUCCACAAUGGGCGCAAGCCUGAUGGAGCAACACCGCGUGAGUGAAGAAGGGUUUCGGCUCGUAAAGCUCUGUUGUUAAAGAAGAACACGUAUGAGAGUAACUGUUCAUACGUUGACGGUAUUUAACCAGAAAGUCACGGCUAGCUACGUGCCAG